CGUUCCCUGCGAUGUGCGACAGCGCAUCCAAACAUAUUGCCUUGGCCCUAUAUACGACCCCGGGAUUGCAGUGCCCAAGUCUGUGCGCAAGUCCGCCGCGAGCGGAAAGCCUGAUGACCGGCGAGCUUUCCCACCUGAUCCUCGGGAUCAAGGUCGUUCGGUGUGCAUCGGCAUCGCGGAGAACGU
rnacentral:other from 1 species